GCUGGAUUGGCAGAGUUCGGCUUAUUGCCGCCGUCUCGAAAACGGAUGAUCACAGAGUGAUGCGGAGGUUCGAAUCCUCCAUCCAGCG
rnacentral:tRNA from 1 species